GGACGCCAAGGAAGAACGCAAGUUGUUGCCGCCGCCGAAGAUGAAAACUGGUGGUAACUGGUGAUGGAACUCUAUCCUACGCGCAUAGCAGUGAUGGAACAUAGCGUACUUUCACCCUUUUUUCCAGAUCGAGAUGGUGGAGGCAGCCAGUGUCGUGGCCGAGCGCUGGGGAGCUUGUCGGUGUUUUGAUGGAGAAGGCUGGGUCCGAAGGUCCCGAAGUCCUAUGGCAUGAACUGGCCACGGCGCAUCCGGCUGGAUGCACUUGCUCAACACCUUUCCAUCUCUGUACAAUCAGGUAGAUAUUUUCUCACGUGCCAAAUAUUAUUUUUAGGUUGCCAAAUAGUAGUCUAGGAACUAUAGAAAGUGGAUUGCUGAGUUUGCCAAGCAUAAUAGCACACCUAUUAUCAGAUGACCUGAAGAGUAUAUCAAGCAAAGAUGCUUUCAGAUUUAUGCAUGCCUA